rnacentral:rRNA from 1 species
GAUGAACGCUGGCGGCGUGCCUAAUACAUGCAAGUCGAGCGAACGGACGAGAAGCUUGCUUCUCUGAUGUUAGCGGCGGACGGGUGAGUAACACGUGGAUAACCUACCUAUAAGACUGGGAUAACUUCGGGAAACCGGAGCUAAUACCGGAUAAUAUUUUGAACCGCAUGGUUCAAAAGUGAAAGACGGUCUUGCUGUCACUUAUAGAUGGAUACGCGCUGCAUUAGCUAGUUGGUAAGGUAACGGCUUACCAAGGCAACGAUGCAUAGCCGACCUGAGAGGGUGAUCGGCCACACUGGAACUGAGACACGGUCCAGACUCCUACGGGAGGCAGCAGUAGGGAAUCUUCCGCAAUGGGCGAAAGCCUGACGGAGCAACGCCGCGUGAGUGAUGAAGGUCUUCGGAUCGUAAAACUCUGUUAUUAGGGAAGAACAUAUGUGUAAGGAACUGUGCACAUCUUGACGGUACCUAAUCAGAAAGCCACGGCUAACUACGUG